rnacentral:rRNA from 1 species
AAUGAACGCUGGCGGCGCGCCUAAUACAUGCAAGUCGAGCGAGAAGACGUAGCAAUACGUUUGUAAAGCGGCGAACGGGUGAGGAAUACAUGGGUAACCUACCCUAGAGUGGGGAAUAACUAGCCGAAAGGUUAGCUAAUACCGCGUACGCUCCUUGGACUUCGGUUCAGGGAGGAAAGCGAUGCCGAGGGUAUCGCGCUCUUGGAUGGGCUCAUGUCCUAUCAGCUUGNGGUGAGGUAACGGCUCACCAAGGCUUCGACGGGUAGCUGGUCUGAGAGGACGAUCAGCCACACUGGCACUGCGACACGGGCCAGACUCCUACGGGAGCAGCAGUAAGGAAUAUUGCGCAAU